GUGGGGAAUAUUGGACAAUGGGCGGAAGCCUGAUCCAGCCAUGCCGCGUGUGUGAAGAAGGCCUUUUGGUUGUAAAGCACUUUAAGCGAGGAGGAGGCUCCUUUAGUUAAUAUCUAAAGAGAGUGGACGUUACUCGCAGAAUAAGCACCGGCUAACUCUGUGCCAGCAGCCGCGGUAAUACAGAGGGUGCGAGCGUUAAUCGGAUUUACUGGGCGUAAAGCGUGCGUAGGCGGCUUUUUAAGUCGGAUGUGAAAUCCCUGGGCGUAACUUAGGCAGUGCAUUCGAGACUGGAAAGCUAGAGUAUGGGAGAGGAUGGUAGAAUUCCAGGUGUAGCGGUGAAAUGCGUAGAGAACUGGAGGAAUACCGAUGGCGAAGGCAGCCAUCUGGCCUAAUACUGACGCUGAGGUACGAAAGCAUGGGGAGCAAACAGGAUUAGAAACCCCUGUAGUCC
rnacentral:rRNA from 1 species